AGGUGUAGUUCAGUAUCGUCUCGUUCAAAAGAUGAGACAUCUGGUUUGACGGACCGCUACAUCUAUUAUCCACAAAUCACAACUUUGUUAAUUAAGGUUUAACAACUUAUAAAUCAAUAAAGGAAAAGUGUUCGUCAGUCGUGGUAGACAGGUCACUACUUAGUCAUGAGUUGUUCAUGGCCGUAAAGGGUCCCAAACCCGAUACGAUUGUUUUGAAAGUUCUCUAAUCCCGCAAGGAUGAGUUUGGGUGGCAACCUAGAAGAGUGAUGAGUAAGAAUAGAGUAUAUUACCACUUUAGGAUUGGUUAAUCUAAUUGACCGUGACUGAGAGGUACUUCUCAAAAGGAAGUGGAAAUCGGAGGAAACAAUAAUCUCCUGUAAAGUCUCUCACAAGAUGGUGUAUUCUCAACCU
rnacentral:ncRNA from 1 species